AUUCUAGGGUUAUUGUAAGGUUCAUUUUUUUUGGGUCAAUGUGUAGUUGACUUUCUUUGCUAGUUCGAUUCAAAAACCAUCUGCCCCUGGUUCCAUUUUGCAGUUCCGAUCAGACAUGAUCGGUGAACAGAUGGAUAACCCCGGCAGCAAGUACGACGUGUUCUUGAGCUUUAGAGGUGAAAUACGCAAGGGCUUCACGGACCACUUCUACCUUAGAUUAAAAGACUACGAGUUCAAUGUCUUUCUGGACGAGGACGAAUUGCCUAGAGGGGAUCCUAUAACAGAAAAACUGAAGCAAGCAAUCAAAGAGUCCAGGCUUGCUGUCAUCAUGUUCUCAAAGGGGUAUGCGGAAUCGAGAUGGUGUCUUGAGGAGCUGGUGGAGAUCAUGGAGUGCAGAAGAACUAAGGGUCAAUUUGUUUUCCCGAUUUUCUACGAUGUUGAUCCUUCAGAUGUCAGGCAUCAGACUGGUAGUUUUGCAACCGCGUUUCAGAACCAUGAACAAAGGUUUACGGAAGAAAAGGUCCGGGAGUGGAGAAAGGCUCUUACUGCAGCUGCAGAGUUGAGCGGCGAGCAUUUUCAAGUGAAUAACGGGCGUGAAGCAAGGUUUAUCAGGAAAGUUGUUGAGCAGAUCGCUAUAAAACUGCAGAAUGGAUGCUUAAAUGUAGCCACAAAUCCAGUUGGAAUAGAUUCUCGCCUGCAAAAAUUCAGUAAUUAUUUAGAUGUUGGAGGAUCAAAUGUUGUUCGCAUAAUUGGAAUUUGGGGGAUGGGCGGACUAGGUAAGUCAACAAUUGCGAAAGCCAUUUUCAACACAUACCAGCACAGGUUUGAUGGUGCAUGUUUUCUUGAAAAUGUGGGAAAUGAGAAAUUGGUUGAUUUGCAAAACAUGCUUCUGUCUAAAAUCUUGAGAUCGGCCAACAUAAAUGUGAGUACAGUCGAUGAAGGGACGGAGAAGAUAAAAACAAGACUUGGCAACGUAAGGGUUCUUGUCAUAAUUGAUGAUGUAGACAGUGUGGCACAGAUAAAUGCAUUAGCUAUAAAACGUGACUCAUUUGGUCCAGGAAGUAGAAUUGUUAUAACAACAAGAGAUCAAAAUUUGCUAAAGACACCUGAAGUGGUGGAUGAGGCAUGUUCUCUACCAACAAUGGAUAACGAGGAGGCUCUUGAGCUCCUUAGUUGGCAUGCGUUUGGAAAAAGUUCUCCUAAUGAAGGAUAUCGCAAGGUCUCAAGAGAAGCUGUUGAUUAUUGUGGGGGUUUACCACUUGCACUUGAAGCUGUAGGUUCUUACCUAUGCACAAAAACCACAAGUGAAUGGACAGAUGCAUUGAAAAAAUGGAAAAGAGUGCAGCCUAGCAUAACUCACAAAAUUUUUAAGGUAAGUUAUGACGGGCUUACUGAUGACAAGGUGAAGGAUAUAUUCCUUGACAUAUCCUGUUUCUUUAUUGGAAUGAACAAGCACCAUGUCCUGGCAAUAUUGGAUGGGUGUGACAGUAAUCCAGCAAUAGGUAUUAAGGAACUCGAGGAGCGAUGCCUUGUAACUGUUGAUCCAGAAGGCAAUCUGAUGAUGCAUUGUUUGAUUCGAGACACGGGCAGAGAAAUCGUACGUGCUAAAUCCCCUAAGAAGCUUGAAAGUCGCUGUAGAUUGUGGCAUCAUGAGGAUGUAAAACACGUAUUGGCGAAAAAAUGUGAAAAGAAAAAAAUUGAAGGAAUCGCAUUAGAUUUUUUAGAACCUGACAAGCUUAGCGUCAGUACAGAAGCAUUCAGAAAGAUGCUGAACCUGAGAUUACUCAAAAUAAGAGGUGUAAAGUUCACUGGAGACUGCAAACAUCUUCCUGAAGAGUUAAGAUGGUUAAGUUUGUCUGACUUUCCUCUGCAGGCCAUACCAGAAGAUUUUAAUCAACCAAACGUAGUUGACAUCGACCUGAGUUAUAGCAAUAUAAAAGUCUGGAAUGACAACGUGUCACUUGAAAAGUUGAAGUUUCUCAAUCUUGGUUAUUGUGAUCACCUGAAACAAUCACCAGACUUUUCAAGAAUCCCAAAUAUUGAGAUAUUGAUACUCAAAGCCUGUAAGCGUUUGUCCAAGAUUCACCACUCUGUAGUAAAAUUGAAGAACCUUAAGUAUUUGUCUGUUGCAAAAUGCAAAAAUCUUCAGGAAAUCCCAGAUUUACCAACAAAUUUGGAAAUCCUGAAAGCGAAUGAGUGCAUUGCAUUGAAAAAGAUGCCAGAUUUUUCAGAAAUGUUGAGUAUGGUAGAACUGCAUCUGAAUCACUCCCCCAAACUCACUAAGAUUCUAGGCUUGCAUAAGUCGUUAAACACCAUGAGAAGGAUUCAUAUGGAAGGGUGCACCAAUCUCACUGCUGCUUUUAGAAAAGCAAUCCUACAGGGAUGGGGUGUGAGCAGAAAUGGUGAUCUUUUUUGUCCAGGAAAUGAUCUUCUAUCAGGGUUUACAUGCGUUGACCCUAAGGAUGAAAUAGUUUCUUCUCUUUUUAUCCCCGGAAAUGAUCUUCCAUCAGGGUUUACAUACUUUGACCCUAAGGAAGAAAUAGUUGUGCCGCAAUGUUUUGGUGAUGAUGCAAAAGCGUUGACUCUGUGCAUCGUUUAUUCUUGCGACGACUCCCAAUCUAGUGAUUCACUUUGCAUCCGUGUUGAAAAUCGUACCAAAGAAACUGAGAUUUCAAGCUGUCCAAUGUAUGCCACCGUACUAAAUAGCCAUGAAAGUUAUAUUUGGCUGGGACGUUUAUCAAACAAUACGCUCAAUGUGAACGGUGGGGACAAGAUAAAUGUUGGUGCGCACUUUGUAGGACACGGGAGUACAGACGAUAUUCAUAUCAGGGUGCAGAAAAUAGGGGUCUACCUGGAGCAGGAAAAUGUAGUCGAUGAAUUUUCCAAUCCUAUGACACUUUCCAGUGAGUAUGACAAGGAGGCCAAUCUUAUGCAAGACAAGGUGAGACUCUUAUCUGAGGAGAAUCUGUCUCGUAAAAGACAGAGGUAUGACAAGGAUGUCAAUCUUAUGCAAGACCAGGUGAGACUCUCAUCUGAGGAGAAUGGAUCUCGUAAAAGGCGGGGCUAUGACAAGGAUGUCAAUCUUACGCAAGACGAGGUGAGACUCUCAUAUGAGGAGAAUCGAUCUCGUAAAAGACUGAGGUCUAACGGUGUUGAAAGAAAUGCACAAGAAAUUGAUGCCCCAAUAAACAGCUGCAUGGACUAGGAGAAAAAAAAGGUACCUUCUUUCUAGUAGAGGCUAGAAUGUGCUACUAGACGCUAGAUAUCGAUUAGGACGUAAAGAGAAUAAAGAGAACACCGGUGGUGACGAGUGGGCUUGGCAAUGAGGCGUUCAUCAUUUGGAUUUAGGGUGAUGGUUCAUUUACUGAGUUUUAUCUUUAUUUGUAAUAGUUGUAUGAUCACACUUUUGAUUAUGCGUAACACUGCACUUUUAUGUGUUUAUAGUUGUGUGAAACUUCUAGCUGCUCUAAUGUGAUGUGAUAAUAACGAGAGUUAAUCCCGAGAUAAUUUGUGUCCCCAAGUGGGGAGGUUGAUAAGUGAACUUGUAGAAGCUUUGGAUUUCUUAGUGAUAAAUGUUUUUGUUCAAA